ACCUGGGUGGCUCAGUUGGUUGAGCUUCUGACUUUGGCUCAGGUCAUGAUCUCACUGUCUGUGAGUUCAAGCCCCGCAUCAGGCU
rnacentral:tRNA from 1 species